CACGUGGAAAACUCUCAGAGGCUCCAGCUUGUGUUUGCCCUCUGCAGAAUGCUGCUGGAGCUGUAGGACAUUUUACAUCAGAGCAUCAACCACUGAGCCAGGAGGAGGGUGCCUGGAACGCUCGUGUUCUGUGGGGCAGAGACACAGAAGGGGCUCUCUCAUUCCCACAGGGAAGGCAUGAUGUGCUGGGCUCCUUACCUUGUCACCUGUGCCUGCUGUUUGAGGAUUCAUCUUUUGCUUGGGUGGCUCAGAAAGUCUCGGCCUCAGGAGCUGCACCAGAUGUGUCAUUCCCAGCUCUGGACAAUGGAUGGCUGCCAAAGCUCCUCAGAACAGUGAGGCUGACAAGUGGUAUUCCUCAUGGAGCUGCUGCUUUGUGGCUCACCUUGGGGCUCCCAGCUCUCCACAGAUCCUUCGCUUCUUCUGUGGCGAGACUCCUGAUUUGGGCAGCGCUUGGUGACCGACGGCUGCAGCCAGCAUGGUCCCCUCCUACCUCGGGAGGAUAUUCACAGGUUAAUUGUCAGCUCUGUGCCCGAGAGACCUGCCAAAGGAAACCCUUGCACCUGUCAAUGACUUGUGAAGAGCCAUUCCUCAUUUCGGAGACCCCUGCCAGGAAUGGGAGAUUUACCCAUUUACCCAAGAGUAUCUAAGUUCCUCACACAAUCAGAAAAUGCCCCAAGCCCCUUCUGCAAUUGAUGUCCCCCCCGAGGAUGAUGUGUCACUACUUGAAGACUGAUCUCAGGAAGGACAAAUCAAUUCUGCAGUGAGUCCUGGUACUCCUUCUAACAAUCAGCAUUCCUGGUUCCCAGGGCUCUUCAAGGCCUAAAAAAAAGACCUAAAAACCUAAAAACCGAAUAUGCAUAUUCCCUGCAGUAUUUUCACUGCCUCAAGACAGACAAAAGGAUCUUGAAAAGUUCCUGCAUCCAUUCAGCAUGAGGUAACAAUAGACAUUUUAUCCCCAAAACACCACUCCAAAGGCAGUGUCUGAUUGCCCAUUUCUGAGGGACUCCAGAGCUCAGUGCCUUCUUGCAUCCAUUUAACUCAAAGUCCCUGGAUGGACUCCAGGGCCACAGGGUGGGGUCACUGACCAUGUGUUGUACAGGGGCUGAGUCUAAACCAUCUGAUGAUCUUGGGCCCAGAAAAUGUCUUACUCUGCAUAACCCCCGUGACCUUUUCCUGUGUCGCUCAUCUGUCUGCACUCGGAAAAGGCUGGCACGUGGCUGAUUUUAUGGAGGGCGUGCUGCAUGUCCUGGGAUCAGCCUUCAUGUGCUGUGAUUCCUUCUGCAGUGCUUACAGCCCUGUCAGAGACCUCAGUGCUGGGCUUUGCUCGGCCACUGGAGGGGCUUUACAGAGCCCAUUGCCCUGUUGCUCUGUCUGGA